GGAUUCUUUCCCACGGCAAACAGGUUGAGAGGUAACUGGUACCAAACGUCAGGUAUUCUCUCAUGGCUCCUACAACGUCAUGACUCUGCAGACAUGCAAUCAUUUUCCUUACAUGUUGUUUACAUAGUUGAUCAUGUGGGCUACUUACCCUGGAUAACCGACUAAAUUAAAACCAACAACAGAAGACAGAAGAAACGGAGUGGGAAUUUUCGUCUUACUCCAAUUCCUGGCAGCAGUGGGAAGCUGCAGUGUAGAAGUGAAAGUUGACAGUGAGAUAAGAGUUGGUUGCAACGAAAAUCACAAUUCAGCUCUCAUAUUCUCAACAUGGCUAUAUUCCGCAGCAAUGAUGCACGUGAUGAGCGAACUAACUUAGCGGAAGCUAAGCGUUCAACAUCAUCGUCUGGGUACUCUCUAACAUUGACCAUUGUGGUAUAGAGACAAAGAUUGACUACAAACACUGGUGAAGAUGGACUUUGCCUCAUUGAAGGUUGUGAGCAGAUAUGUUACAUCCAACCGACAAUUUUACUCGAGGUGACCCAUGCAUGCGAACGCUGAAUGCAUGAUGGCUCUCCGGGUACACGCUGAGAGAGGAAUUGAAGCCAAAAUAGAUUCUUCAUUUCUGACCAAAAUCACCGCGGAAAUCAAAGACCUUCGUCUGUUAUACCUCAAGAGUAUCACACAGGUGAAGAAUCUGCAUCAUAUCGUAGCGGAUGCAAAUGAAUAAUCUCAAAUGCUGUAGAUCCACUCAUGUUCCUACAAUCCCACGCUCUUCUCAGGCCAAAGUUCCCUUCAGAGGGUCACGAGCUCACACCACGCAUGGCAUUGCUCAAAACCUCUCCUCCCACACCAACAAUAACACCAGCUGCGCCACCAUCCGUACCAAGUAGAGGUUCUCCCACUGGUCACACAAGUAGGACAGGGUCCGGCUCCGAGUCAAGGAGCUGGAGGAGUACGCUUU